UUUAGGGUAAUGCUAUGUUCAGACUACGCCGUUGUAUCAUGAUACAAGCGGUUUUGGUGAUACAAGGCCAAUAUCAUGUUUCUGGAACAUGAUACAGCCAUACAUUUUUGACACCUCCAAUAUCACCUUCCCGAACGUGAUAUUCUGAAUAUCACGAUACAACUGCUCGAAUUCGGUGCUCGAAUGAAGCAUUUCUGGCAACACUGGUAGGGAUUUGACAUAAAUGUCAUCUGAAAUGUUUGUUUUGUUGUAGUUUUCAUUUUCUCAACGGGAAUGAAGAAAUUGGCAAAGUUUGUGCUACAAAAGCUCCAAAUCAAAAAUUCAAAACUCCUCCGCAAAAUCGGAGAGGGCCGGCGCAGAGAAACAGACCCGGAGAUCAACGUAGGGACGAUACUUCAAUGGUGGCCGCAACGGAAAAACCGGAAAGUGUGGAACAUUGCAUCGGAAUAUCAACCACUGAAGAGUCUCGACCAGAUCAAGGAGAAAACAUCACGGUGAACAUACAAUACACCAGUUCGCACAUCCAUCAGCUGGAAAUCCCUCCCGGAAGCAUGCACUUCAUCGUCCAAUUCGUCAGACGGCCUCACGGAAGCGCGCCACAGCAAAAGAUUACAGUUGCCGGAGGGUUUUUGAUGCACUAGACUGAGCUCUCUACGAACUUCAAUUAUUUCCAUAGUUUUCCCCCACGGAAACGGGAAUGGGCUACGUUGUUGUUCUGCAGCUAGAGUUCAGUAUCACAGCGUCUGCUUCCAGAUUAGAAUUCCAAUCUCCAUUACCGGAAACUCAGUCUUCCGAGAGCGAAUCGUUCAAACGAAUGAUGAAGCUGAUGCUGGAGAACGUCUCGAGAUGCGGUGUCUUUGUGGCCAACAGAUUAGUCGGCAGCAAAACAGGAAGCAAUCUGAGUAUCAAUCCGUCCCCACGCUGGAAUAUGAGUACUCUGUCCGGAAGAUGUCUAUCUAUAGGUAGCUAGUACCUACCGAUCGUGCGUCAUAUUGUUGCUUGUAUUAUUACUGGCAAGCGCGAAUGGUCAAGAAAAGGUCGAGAACGAAAACUGUUUCUUUUGUAGUACAAUGGUCGUUGAUUUUUAUAAUAUUUCAUUAUAUUGGGAGGGAGAAGAGUCGUAUCUCGUCCACCAGAAUUCCGAAUAAACAUUUAUAUUGAGAGCUUCGAUUUCUGUA